GAGCUACCGAGAGGCGGGG
rnacentral:snRNA from 1 species